rnacentral:lncRNA from 1 species
AGGCUGCCCUGCAACUGAGAAGGAAGCAGGACUAGAAGCCAGGUUGUGCAAGCUGGGUGCCCAGCCAUAAACUCACAGAGGUGGGGCUAAUCUCAUUCAUGACAUCAGAGGGGGCACAGGCCACCCUCAGCAGGCUCUGAAGCAAAGCCUAACUCACCAAGGAGGAAAAGAGGCCACUCUGCAGAAAGGCAUGGAGCCCUGUCCAGAGACAACUUCUGAAACAAAGAAAGUCCAUAGUUCACAGGAAAUGCAGCCAACUACUGAAGAAAAAAAAAACCUACAUCAGGUGCGGGUGACCUUGGGCACCCAGUGGAAGCUGCUGAAGGUGGAUUAAACAAUGGGGGCUACUUAUAGCCUUCUCCCUUUCUUUACAUUUUACUGAAUUUUGAAAGAAUGCAUACUCAAAGAAAAAUUCAAAGUACAGGAAAGUGUCAAAAAAAAAAAAAUCACCUGAAACCCUUUGUCUCCUCCAGUCACCUAGUGAGCAGUGGGUCCCUGUUUCUCCAGCUUGCUCUGGGGGACAAUGGUUGCUGCCCUCCUCUCAUCUGGACCCCAGCAUCCACAUCUACAGCCUGGGAUGCUCUGUGGCCAUCGGAUGCACAAGGACACAUUUUCCAAGAGCAAGGGCCCAUGGGACCUCAAGAGAGAAUUUUUCCUGAUGAUGCAAGAAACUACCACUGUGAAAGUGUGGGUGUGGAAGUACACGCCCUUGGUCCUGGCUUUCAGGAGGAUGAAGAGUUUGAGGCCAGCCUGUGUUACAAUACUCAGUGAGACCCCUGCUAAAUAAUCAACAAUCAAAAUUCGAAUUGACUGUAGUUUUUAGGUUAGAGUCAGCCAAGGUCUCCCAGAGCUAACAAGUUGUUUGCUGGCUGGGCCCCUCCUGGAGGCUCUAGGAAAGAUAACAUCCUUGGAACUCUCUAGGGCUGUGGUCAGAACCAAUGUGCACAUUUACAAGACUAUACUCCCGUCGUCUCCCCAGCAUCUCUGCAUGGGCUCCACUUCUGACCCCAGCCAGACACUGAGGGCUCCAGGGUUUUCUUUUGAUGCCAGACUUCUAUGCCUUUUCCUUUGCAUCUCGUGUGGUUCUCUGCAUUCUGAGGCUGAUGUGGAUUUCUGGAGGCAAUCCCACAGAAUCCUCAACUUUAGAGCCUGUCACCUUCAUCUAUUUCAAAGGCCUCUGUGCCCUGCAUGUUUCCUAGUUCCAGGAAUUAAGGUACACAUGUCCUCCGUGACCCUUCUCAGGGCGAGGCAGGGUGGAGUGCAGGGUGAACAAGUCAGCCUUGGGCUGUUUCUGUUCACUGGCUAGGACACACACACACACACACACACACAGAUUGAGAGAGAGAGAGAGAGAGAGAGAGAGAGAGAGAGAGAGAGAGAGAGAGAGAGGUCUCUAACAGUGUAAGUAAGGCCACACCCAGUGGGAGUGUUUUGCCUUAUAAGGCUUUGGGUUGCCUCAAGCCAGGAAGGAAGGACCAGCUGGGCAGGAACUGGGUGGAGAUCCAAGAUUCCUGGGCAGGAACAGGACUUGCCCAAACCAAAGGUAGGACUGGCUGGGCGGGGCUUUCCAGGGAGCCAACGCAUGGGCUAGUGUCUGCUCUAGUUUCUUCUGGGCCAUUCUGAAAAUCUCCCUGGGGAAACCAUCUAGAGACUCUCCAGAAGAACCCCACUUCCAGGAUUGCAGUGCCUCUCAUUGGCGUUCCUGGGACUGAGGGACCUCACCCUGAUUCUGGCUCCCCGCUCCCUUCACUUUCCACAUCUGCUAGUCUGG